rnacentral:misc_RNA from 1 species
CUAAGUUCAGCGGGUAGUCUCACCCGAUUUGAGGUCAAGGGUUCGUGGGCUUGAGGGUGUUUCCCGAGAAGGGAGACACGCCCAAACAUUGUCUCGGGUUGAGACGGUUAGAAGCGGGUCCCAAAAGCAACAGAGCCAGAAACCAAGACAUGGAAACAUCUUAUCACACGUCGAGGAUCGGCAAAGAGGACCCCGCUAAU